rnacentral:rRNA from 1 species
UAGGGAAUCUUCGGCAAUGGGGGGAACCCUGACCGAGCAACGCCGCGUGAGUGAAGAAGGUUUUCGGAUCGUAAAGCUCUGUUGUUAAGGAAGAACGAGUGUGAGAAUGGAAAGUUCAUACUGUGACGGUAUCUAACCAGAAAGCCACGGCUAACUACGUGCCAGCAGCCGCGGUAAUACGUAGGUGGCAAGCGUUGUCCGGAUUUAUUGGGCGUAAAGCGAGCGCAGGCGGUCAAUUAAGUCUGAUGUGAAAGCCCCCGGCUCAACCGGGGAGGGUCAUUGGAAACUGGUUGACUUGAGUGCAGAAGAGGAGAGUGGAAUUCCAUGUGUAGCGGUGAAAUGCGUAGAUAUAUGGAGGAACACCAGUGGCGAAGGCGACUCUCUGGUCUGUAACUGACGCUGAGGCUCGAAAGCGUGGGUAGCAAACAGG